rnacentral:rRNA from 1 species
CCUACGGGAGGCAGCAGUGAGGAAUAUUGGUCAAUGGGCGGGAGCCUGAACCAGCCAAGCCGCGUGAGGGAAGACGGUACUGCGUAUCGUAAACCUCUUUUGUCAGGGAACAAAGGCGGGCACUCGUCCCCUUAUGAGGGUACCUGAAGAAAAAGCAUCGGCUAACUCCGUGCCAGCAGCCGCGGUAAUACGGAGGAUACGAGCGUUAUCCGGAUUUAUUGGGUUUAAAGGGUGCGCAGGGGGCCUGUUAAGUCAGCGGUAAAAGUGCGGGGCUCAACCCCUGCGAGCCGUUGAAACUGGCUGGCUGGAGUUGGUGAGAAGUACGCGGAAUGCGUGGUGUAGCGGUGAAAUGCAUAGAUAUCGCGCAGAACCCCGAUUGCGAAGGCAGCGUACCGGCGCCCAACUGACGCUGAUGCACGAAAGUGUGGGUAUCGAACAGGAUUAGAUACCCGUGUAGUC